rnacentral:rRNA from 1 species
AUUGAACGCUGGCGGCAUGCCUUACACAUGCAAGUCGAACGGCAGCACGGGUGCUUGCACCUGGUGGCGAGUGGCGAACGGGUGAGUAAUACAUCGGAACAUGUCCUGUAGUGGGGGAUAGCCCGGCGAAAGCCGGAUUAAUACCGCAUACGAUCCACGGAUGAAAGCGGGGGACCUUCGGGCCUCGCGCUAUAGGGUUGGCCGAUGGCUGAUUAGCUAGUUGGUGGGGUAAAGGCCUACCAAGGCGACGAUCAGUAGCUGGUCUGAGAGGACGACCAGCCACACUGGGACUGAGACACGGCCCAGACUCCUACGGGAGGCAGCAGUGGGGAAUUUUGGACAAUGGGCGAAAGCCUGAUCCAGCAAUGCCGCGUGUUUGAAGAAGGACUUCGGGUUGUAAAGCACUUUUGUCCGGAAAGAAAUCCUUGACUCUAAUACAGUCGGGGGAUGACGGUACCGGAAGAAUAAGCACCGGCUAACUACGUG